GACGAACGCUGGCGGCGUGCCUAAUACAUGCAAGUCGAGCGAAUCAAUGGGAGCUUGCUCCCUGAGAUUAGCGGCGGACGGGUGAGUAACACGUGGGUAACCUGCCUGUAAGACUGGGAUAACUUCGGGAAACCGGAGCUAAUACCGGAUACGUUCUUUUCUCGCAUGAUAAGAGAUGGAAAGAUGGUUCUGCUAUCUCUUACAGAUGGACCCGGGGCGCAUUAGCUAGUUGGUGAGGUAACGGCUCACCAAGGCGACGAUGCUUAGCCACCCUGAGAGGGUGAUCGGCCACACUGGGGAUGAGACACGGCCCAGACUCCUACGGGAGGCAGAAGUAGGGAAUCUUCCGCAAUGGACGAAAGUCUGACGGAGCAACGCCGGGUGAGCGAAGAAGGCCUUCGGGUCGUAAAGCUCUGUUGUUAGGGAAGAACAAGUACGAGAGUAACUGCUCGUACCUUGACGGUACCUAACCAGAAAGCCACGGCUAACUACGUGCCAGCCGCCGCAGUAACAC
rnacentral:rRNA from 1 species